rnacentral:rRNA from 1 species
CCUACGGGAGGCAGCAGUGGGGAAUAUUGCACAAUGGGCGAAAGCCUGAUGCAGCGACGCCGCGUGAGGGAUGACGGCCUUCGGGUUGUAAACCUCUUUCAGCAGGGAAGAAGCGAAAGUGACGGUACCUGCAGAAGAAGCGCCGGCUAACUACGUGCCAGCAGCCGCGGUAAUACGUAGGGCGCAAGCGUUGUCCGGAAUUAUUGGGCGUAAAGAGCUCGUAGGCGGCUUGUUGCGUCGGUUGUGAAAGCUCGGGGCUUAACCCCGGGUCUGCAGUCGAUACGGGCAGGCUAGAGUGUGGUAGGGGAGAUCGGAAUUCCUGGUGUAGCGGUGAAAUGCGCAGAUAUCAGGAGGAACACCGGUGGCGAAGGCGGAUCUCUGGGCCAUUACUGACGCUGAGGAGCGAAAGCGUGGGGAGCGAACAGGAUUAGAUACCCUGGUAGUCCACGCCGUAAACGUUGGGAACUAGGUGUUGGCGACAUUCCACGUCGUCGGUGCCGCAGCUAACGCAUUAAGUUCCCGCCUGGGGAGUACGGCCGCAAGGCUAAAACGUUAAAUGAAUUGACGG